rnacentral:rRNA from 1 species
GUGUCAGCAGCCGCGGUAAAACGUAGGUGGCGAGCGUUAUCCGGAUUUACUGGGCGUAAAGAGCUUGUAGGCGGUCUUGUAAGUUGGGCGUGAAAGCCCCGGGCUUAACUCGGGGAGGCCGUUCAAUACUGCAGGGCUAGAGGAUGUCAGAGGGAGAUGGAAUUCCUGGUGUAGCAGUGAAAUGCGUAGAUAUCAGGAGGAACACCCGUGGCGAAGGCGGUCUCCUGGGGCACUCCUGACGCUGAGAAGCGAAAGCUAGGGGAGCGAACGGGAUUAGAAACCCCGGUAGUCCUAGCCGUAAACGAUGGAUGCUAGGUGUUGGCAGAUCUAACCCUGCCAGUGCCAAAGCUAACGCGUUAAGCAUCCCGCCUGGGAACUACGAGCGCAAGCUUAAA